GCGCACCAGUGGGAAGGACCCAUCGGAAGCGGAGGGCUGACUGGUCCUGGCCGUGUCGCUUGGACAGGUGACUUCACUUUUUGGUCCCAUUUGUUUAGCUGUCUGGAAGUUAAAGCCAGGUGUCCGCAGGCUUGCUAGGUGGGUCUCGUACUCUGCGCGCUGACAGCCCGCCUGAAGUCUGCAGUGACUGCCCCCCAGCGGCUCCCCUAGGGCAGUCACCCCCGCCGCUCUCUGGCUUCAGGUCCCUCCGUAAGCUCAGGGCGCCCUCUGCGCCCUCUGCCCUCUGGAGCAGUAGGACCUGGGCUCCUGGCUGGGAAGGGCCUCCCGCGCUUCCUGACCCUGGAGCCCGUGGGACCGUGGAUAGGCCUCUGGGACCCGGGUGGGGCCCAGGACACGGCUUCCACUGAGGUCCAGCCCUGUUGGGGAGCUGGCUUUUUCCCGACGCGACUGGGAGCUCAAGACGAGGGGCUGUGGGGGCCGAUGUGAAGGGCCCCGACUGCAGAGAGGGGGCUAGUCCCCGGCCCGUCGCCCUGCCGUCGCAUUCCAGCGUGGUUACUGGGCUUGUGCGUGGGCGCAGGAUUGGGUGAGGGCCGGGACAGGAAGUUUGUCCGCGGCCCCAAAAUCUUUGACCCUGUUACUGGAGCGAUCACGGCCUGUGGGCGCUGAGCGUUAGAGUUAGAAGGGAACCAGCCCAGAGCCGUCCGGCCCCGUGGGCUGCGCAGAGAGCUACCCCAGGCAGCCAGGACCUGCCCUGAUUCUUGGGCAGAGCCCUCCCGCGCUGUCACGUCAUGCACACGGCUGGCGCUGCUUCCGCGGGGCGCUCAGGUGUGCGCACACGGGCUGGCCCAGCCCGACCCGGGUGGGGGAGGAGGCGCGUGGCUGCCCGUCGCCUUAGUUCAAAGCGGAGCCUCUGUGGGCGGCUGAGGCUUUGGAGCUGUGAGCUCUUUGACGUUGCCACAGGAGCUGGCAAGAGGGACAGCGCCCCAACGGCAGGCAGCCUGCUGGGGUCGGGAAGUGGCUCUGGACCCCUGGGACAUGGCUAAUUUGGAACCACCACCCACAGUGAAUAGAGGGGCCUGAUGGGGAAGGGCGAGGGUUUGGUUCUGAUCUAGAAGCAGGGGUGAGAGACGCCCUCAUUCCCCGGCCUGGGCGGGUGAGCGGUGUGCGUGAGCUGCCGCAGGGAGAACACGCCUCCUGAGCCCAGCCGACGUCGGAACCUGGGAUCCUAGAGGCCACCGCUCAGGCCUCUGCCCGCCCCCUCUGCUCCGUCCUCCUGGCCCUCAGCGACCACCACCGUUCCUGCUGCCCACCUGGUCUACCCAGAGGUCGUGUGGCUGGUCCCAGUCCCAGACAGGUGCUCCUGGUGGGUGCACGCCUCAGCCGAGGGGAGAGUGGCAGGUGACAGAUUCUUUGCUUGACCACUCUUCGGUUUGGCUCCUGAGGCCUCGACCAAGCCCAUCGGUGCCCUUCCUCAUAAAACCCAGCUUCGGGUGAAACUCUCCAUCCUCAACACCCGAUAAGGUUCUUGGCCCCCUGCCCUCCCCAGGUGACGUCCGGCCACCCCGCCCGCCUUCAGCUGGAACCCCUCACCCAGAUGUCUCCUCUCUGAUCAUCCAUUGCCCCCACCCUUCUCCUCUCCCGCGCAGGGAGAGACAGCUUCCCUUGACCCUCAGGUCCUGCUCCAUCCGACAGUUAAACUGACGACGGACCGGCAGAAGAAAAGCAUCCACGUCUGUUAAUUUCACAAGUGUCACGUGACAGGGGAGCCUUCGCCAGUCCACGGGGACCCACAAGAACAGUCAAACCUGAGCGUUUCAUGCCAGGUCUGCAGGAGUACAUGAUAGGUCAGGAGGUGAGGUCACGUGGUGAAUUGGGGGGCCUUGCAAGGCAUUUGUUCCCAUUUCUCCCUUUGUCUGCCCCCUUUCCUCCAGGUUUGGGGCACUUCUCACAUGAGGGUUCGAUGGCCUGGCUCGGGGAUUGAGGGGGUCUGUUUUCUUCAACUCCUCUCCCUUAAAAUCGUCAGCAUGCCCAACUGCCACACUUUGGGGUAAUGUGUCCUGAAACCCGUCACUACCGAGCCCCACUUGCCCACGCUGUAAUCCGACUUGAGGCCACCUCUCCCUCCCCCACUGCAAAAUGUCAUCACAGGGGUUUGAGCACUUGCUGCGGUGGCCCUGAAUAAAGUCAGCCUGCAGCCCCCAUCAAAAUGGUGAGGGGGCAGGAGGCCUCGCGGAAAGGGUGGUGGUGCCAAGCAGAUGGGGCAGUACUGCUCAGGAGUGCCGUGGCUGCUGUGAGGUGGCAGUGUGUGGUGCUGUCCCUUACCCCCUGCCCGACUGCGGGUCAGUUGCAUCCUUGAGCCUCAGGGCCCUGACUAUGCUGUGCCAACUCUGGAGUUCCUAACCCAUAGGGCAUGGCUAGCUCUGUCCCCUCCUUCAAGUCCCCUGGGAUGUCAUUUUCGCAGUGAGGACUUGUCAGAUCCCUGCUCCUUCUCGCCCACCUGCUCAGGUGUGAACUGGGCCCCCGUAAAUGGAUGGAGUAUCAUGGCGAAUGCACUCAUCCUGUUUGGUGGGUGGGGAAUACAGCAAGACUUAGCCCCUGCCGGCAUGUGGCAGGUCUGUGUCAUCACUGCUGUUAUUGUUGGGGUGGGGUGCUGCCGGGUGCUGGGAAGGGGCCACAGAACUUCCAGGGAGGGAGGGUCUCCCACGGGGACAUCUUAGCUGAGGCCCUGAGGGGUUAUCUGGGUGACAAGCAGGUGUGGAGCCGAAGAACCGAAGAACCGAAGAACCGUCAGAGUCAAGUUGCAAGCAGAGGGCAGGUUUUAUGGCAAGGGGAACGACCCUGAGAGACCACCUCAAAGAUUCGCUCAGGGCAGGAAGGAGAAUCAGUUUCAGAGUAGGUACAGAAACCACUCCUGGUGACAGGUUACGCCCCUGUGAACGACACCAGAGAGGUGGCUGACUGGUUCCCGAAACAAAUCUGUCACUGUAGUUCAUCACAUCAUCGCCUGAGCAUUUUGUCACGAUGCUAAUUUUGUGCCAGAGGAAGGUCUGCCAGACCAGGUGUGGGACAUCCAGGGGUCUAGGUGGGCUCAGGACUGGCCUCCCGAGGAGGUCUCGCAUCUGGUCUCGGACGUGUGGCGUGGCCUGGCCGUGGCAGGCUCUCUGCUGCCACCAUGUGGGCGUGGGCCAGAGGCACAGCUGUCGGGGAAGACGGGCCUCCAUCCGGUGGGUGCCUGGCAGCAGCACAGGAACUGGGUACUGCUGGCUGUUGUGCUCUGGUGACCAGAACCUGGGCUCACGACUGCCCACGUCGACGGAGCCGAGGGGCUGGAAACACCUCAGUGUGACGGAAGAGGCUCAUCCGAGGGCCACGUUGUGCUCGACCAGCCCGGCUGUUCUCUAGCCAUCCUGGGAGGACCUGAGGUGGCCUCGCCCGGACACGCAGUUCUUAAGGCACAGCGUGGUGGACACACUGGCGGCCAGACGAUGCAACCGCGUGCUCACUCCAGAGGCUCUCUGGGCGGGACACCCCCGGAGGCUCCCGAGGGUUCCCCUGCCUCAGUCCAGGAAGCACCAGCUACUUCGACAGCCUUCCAGGGACCUUGCAGCCACGGCUUCCACGUAUUAAAUUCUUGUCUGCAGACCAGCCACACGUGGGUCUGUAAUCGACACCCAAAGCCUAGCUGAGCGCUCAAGGAACUGGGCGGCCAUGGAGUGAGGGAUCGAUGGAUGACGUCAGAGCUUGGGGUGAGCUGGCAACCCGUGAUCAAGACGCCAAGGUCCUCAGGGAACGAAAAGGCGUGGCUGACCAGGCGGAACUCUUCUGGUCACUGCUCUGUCUUUCAUGCCUCCUGCUGUGGUGUGUAUAAAUGUUUUAAAACGCAGAA